GGCCAAACGAUGGCGGUGGAAGCCCAUCAGUUCAAUCAACGAUUGUGAAAUGUCUACUGACGCUGAGCAUGCAAAGAUGCAUAGAACGUAAGCUCCAGCUUCAAGAACCUAUCAGGGAUAGUGUUGUACACCUGUUGGGAAUAAGCGUUAUUCAAUUGUGGAUGAUGACGGAUGCAUCGCUCUUGUGGUGAAGCUCAGUGUUCUUGAAAACACAGCUUUCGAGUCCUCGUGUGAACCUUGUGCAGUCCUUGUGAACUGCACAAGCAGUAGCUGGAAAUGAUCCAGCCUGCCCCAGACCACCGUCCUCAUCACAGAAAUCAUGUCAACUCUGCGAAGGAAUCGUGUUAGUGACAGAUUGGCCCAGUGUCACCACAACGGGCAAAAAGCCUUUCUUUCCCCUCAGGCAAAUGACCUCAGAUCUUGAGCAGCAACAGUAAGCUUUUUGGAGAAGGAUUAUGUUCUUUCUAACAGAAGCACUUUCUGUUGUUCUUAUGAAAAUUGGUAAAAACAUUAAGACUUUUAAAAGGAGACAUUUUUGUACCUUCUUUAAUGAACAGA